rnacentral:lncRNA from 1 species
UCGCUUCUUGCUGGAGACAUGGUGCCUAAAUGUCUUAUGCUUAGGUCUGACAUGAGGGACUUGGUUCGGGUAACCAUGAAGCCUGUAGCAGAAGGCUUUUAUAUGCCCAAGCCUACCACAGUGGUGACAUUUCCAUUUCUGGAAUUUCCUCUUCUGAUGAUUAGUCAUCCUGGUUCCCCGAUGUUGAGACAUUGGAUGUGAC